UCCGGUUUGUCACCGGCAGUCUCAGUAAAGUGCCCAACCUAAUGAUGGCAAUUACCGACAAGGGUUGCGCUCGUUGCGGGACUUAACCCAACAUCUCACGACACGAGCUGACGACAGCCAUGCAGCACCUGUGUAAUGGCUCUCUUGCGAGCACUCCCGAAUCUCUUCAGGAUUCCAUCCAUGUCAAGGGUAGGUAAGGUUUUUCGCGUUGCAUCGAAUUAAUCCACAUCAUCCACCGCUUGUGCGGGUCCCCGUCAAUUCCUUUGAGUUUUAAUCUUGCGACCGUACUCCCCAGGCGGUCAACUUCACGCGUUAGCUGCGUUACCAAGACAAUUAAGUCCCGACAACUAGUUGACAUCGUUUAGGGCGUGGACUAC
rnacentral:misc_RNA from 1 species